rnacentral:lncRNA from 1 species
AUUUCCCUAAUGGAGCAUCGUGUUUGUUAAAGGUAGUGUCCAGCUGUUCUAAGGCCAUAUCCUGCUUGUUGAUGUAACAGAGUUGGCUUCUAAUGUCUGUAAAAAUACAAAUUCAAGGAUCUCAGAACCAAAAGAACAAAGACUUGAAAUUCAUAAACACUAUACAGAACUACGAGAAACAUUGAACAUGUGAACCUUAAGGAAAUAUUAUUGAUCUUCUCCUCAUGGUACACUACAUAACAAAUCUCAAGGAUGGUCCCAAACCACUCAAAGGGGCAACGACAAAACAAAAAACACUACGCAAUACUAAACGUACUAAUCAAUUACAAGAGAAUAGGCCCCAUUAUUUGGAUCUAGUCUAAGAUGAAGAAAAACAACAAGGUCAAUGAAAUGUGGGCACCCAAAAGCCAUAUCCAACAGCUAUCACAAAAGUCCAAACAUUAUACAAGUACAAAUCAGUUUCUCCAAGGAUAAGAACAACUACAUGAAAAUGAUGCCUAGAUAGUAAAUAAAUGGAUAAACCUAAGGCAUUUAAUAAAAAUCUGAAGAAAGCUUUAAAAAUAUGUGUCUCUGAUCAACCUAUCCAACUAACAAGUCAAUUCAAAUUUAAUAGGUAAACUACCUUAAGAUAAGGUUUCAUUAUCAAAGUAAGUACACCAAUAAGUCAUGAAAGCAUAGUAGUAAGCAUUAACAAUGGAAAACCACAGAAUGAGUCAUAAAAAUAUCUAUGUUGUUGUCCACAGACUCCCAAAAUAUAGGUUAACCUGAUCUAUGCAAUCAGUAAUGAAAACUACAGUCAGACCUCUUUAUAACCACAUUUCAUCAUAACAAUCAAGCUCUCUUAAUCGAUUUUUCGUCUCUCCUUCAAAAAUCUCAAUUGUAAGGCCUAUCCGAUUUUUCAAUCUCUCCUUCAAAAAUCUCAAUAGUAAGUGCCCUGCCUCCUAUGUAAGGAUCCCAAAAAUUGGAUCAAUUGAGGAUCCAUAACUUAACAAGAAGUAUAAGAGAGACUAGUUCUAUGAUUUGUCCGAUCCUCCAAAAGGA